AUUCCCCUGUGCCUCUUCACCUAUCUCAGCGACUUCUCCCUUUCCCGGAUAUUUAUUCCUGAUGCCCUUACGCCCCUUCCCACAACCUCGCGCUCUUCCUCUUCCAUAAUUCCACCAAGAUCAAACGCCUGACGUGAACAGCCAUAUGCGAGCACGCAGAUCUCUCUUUUUUGGGGGGCGCGCGCAGAUCUCUCCUUUUUUUGCGGCGGGCAGAUCUCUCCCAUCUGGUGGUUCGUACUUCACCGAAGAGUUUGUCGUUCCCUUUAGGGCUUGUUCGGUUAAUCCUCUCCCCAAAAGGAUUGAAGGGGAUUGGCAAGGAUUAGUUUGUAUUUUGACUUACAAGAGGUUUAAAUCCCCCUCAAACUCCUUCAAUCCACUCGGAUUCGCACGCAAUCGAACAAGGCCUUAGCUAUCUCCGGCGAUUCACCAUGGAAGCCAAUUCUGCUUGCCUAGCUCCGUACAAUAGCUUCUUUCCCUCACAGAUAGCAAAUUGGUAAUUGUAAAAAAAGAGGGAUGAGAUGUUUCUAUUGAAGUAUUUUCAGGCACCUAUGCAGCUACAGGUUUAUAAUCCAGAUUAUGUAUGUUUAAUAUGUUUCUUCAAAACUGUAAUUUUCAUUUUGCAAAUUAAUUACCAAAUUAAUCAGUAGCACAAAUAGUUCGAUGCCAAAUCUGUUUGAGAACUUUUAUACGUCUUUCUAUGAAAUUUUGACAGGAUUAAUAUAAAUACUUUUGCCUCUUGAUAACUCUCUUAGAUCAGCACAUUCGUUCUUAACUUCUUAUGAUGACCAAUAACAUAUUACUCGCAGAAGUUUCUCAUAGUACAAAACAAUCUUGGAUUACUACACCCCAUGAAGGAUCACUAUGAUAGUACCUUACAUCCUCAUAGUUCAUGAGCUGACCGCAACUGCUAUGAAAGAACUGUGGCAUCUGAUUUGUGUAUUCCAUGCAUGGUAUUGUUACGGGUGCUUAGGUAGUUGGUAGUUUCUACUUGCCAAAAUUGAAAAGUAUGAUGUUCUGUACUUGGCCUGAUGUUAGUAGAAAAUAACAAGACAUGCAUUUUGAGGUCCUAA